UGCCAGCCGCCGCGGUAAUACGGAGGAUCCAAGCGUUAUCCGGAAUCAUUGGGUUUAAAGGGUCCGCAGGCGGACGUAUAAGUCAGUGGUGAAAUCCUGCAGCUUAACUGCAGAACUGCCAUUGAUACUGUACGUCUUGAAUUCGGUCGAAGUGGGCGGAAUGUGUCAUGUAGCGGUGAAAUGCAUAGAUAUGACACAGAACACUGAUAGCGAAGGCAGCUCACUAGGCCUGGAUUGACGCUCAGGGACGAAAGCGUGGGUAGCGAACAGGAUUAGAUA
rnacentral:rRNA from 1 species